GUGUCUUGUGACACCGGGACCAUGAUGGAAAUUCAUAUUCCAGAAAGUCCCAGAGCAGCGUCCACACCCCUGAAAAGACCAGGAUGUGAGGUGUCUGCUGUUGAUUCCAGCUUCCACCUCAGUGACAGUGCAAGCUCAGUGAACUGUUCAAGGAGGCUACUGAUUCUGGCCCUGUGACACUUGGUGGUGACGUGUGAGCUGAUUCACCUGGACACUCAGCAAAAUAUGGACUCUACACCAUGAGGCAGGCACACGUUAAUAACUCUAUGUGAGCAACACCACAUAUUAUUUUUAUUACUGUACACUGUCCUGGAUUUGUUUUCUUUCUGCAUGAUUUGUUUUCUUUCUGCAUCUCAUCAUUAGCCUGGCUGAUCACCUGAUAACUCCUGUCAUCUGGUUAUGACAGCAUGAGGAUGUCCUCACACACCUGUAACCUAUCAGCUCAUCUGGCAGAAUAGAGAGAGAAGAGACAACACCACAUCUCCUGUUCCUGGAAAGCCUUCAGCCAUCCUUCGAUGACUGAGAACCUCCAUCAGCUCUGUCUCCUGUCUGCCUACAAUUAUUAUAAUAAAUAUUGUGUUUGACAAGUUUUUUGUGCUGCCAAAUAUCUCAUUUUGAUUCCAGUUUUGAUAUUUUAAUGGAAAUUUAUAAAUUACAUUAAUUGAAUUAUCACAUUGCAUGUUUAACUAGCUCUAUUGUGAUGAAUUAAACUAGCACCUCACUGUUAAAAGCUCGUUUUAAUUUCAAGCAUGUUUAAGUAUUUAUGGACAUGAACAAAAACAGGAAAUAUAUAAAUUGAGAU